GAUGAACGCUAGCGGCAGGCCUAAUACAUGCAAGUCGAACGGUGUCUUCGGACAUAGUGGCGCACGGGUGCGUAACACGUAUGCAACCUACCUUACAUUGGGGGAUAGCCUUUCGAAAGGGAGAUUAAUACCGCAUAAGACAGUAGCUGGGCAUCCAGCAGCUGUUAAAGAUUUAUCGAUGUAAGCUGGGCAUGCGUCCAAUUAGCUAGUUGGUGAGGUAACGGCUCACCAAGGCAAGGAUUGGUAGGGGAACUGAGAGGUCAAUCCCCCACACGCGCACUGAGAUACGGGCCAGACUCCUACGGGAGGCAGCAGUAGGGAAUAUUGGGCAAUGGACGCAAGUCUGACCCAGCCAUGCCGCGUGCAGGAUGAAGGCGUUAUGCGUUGUAAACUGCUUUUAUACAGGAAGAAACGACUCUUGCGAGAGGCAUUGACGGUACUGUAUGAAUAAGCACCGGCUAACUCCGUGCCAGCCGCCGCAGUAACAC
rnacentral:rRNA from 1 species